AGAGUUUGAUUAUGGCUCAGACGAACGCUGGUGGCGUGUCUAUACAUGCAAGUCGAGCGGUGCAGCAAUGCAUAGCGGCGAACGGGUGAGUAACACGUAAGCAAUCUGGCCCCCCUGGCUUGGGAAUAGCCGUGCCAACGCGCGGAUAAUACCGAAUAUCGUGGCCUUCCGCAUGGGAGGUUGACAAAAGAUUUAUCGGCAGGGGAUGAGCUUGCGUCCGAUUAGCUAGUUGGCGGGGCAACGGCCCACCAAGGCGACGAUCGGUAGCCGGCCUGAGAGGGCGAUCGGCCACAUUGGGACUGAGAUACGGCCCAGACUCCUACGGGAGGCAGCAGUAGGGAAUAUUGCACAAUGGGGGAAACCCUGAUGCAGCAACGCCACGUGUGGGGAAGAAGCAUUUCGGUGUGUAAACCACUGUCGUGAGGGAAUAAGGCAUUUUUUCGGAGAUGUUGAAUGUACCUCGAAAGGAAGCACCGGCAAACUUCGUGCCAGCAGCAGC
rnacentral:rRNA from 1 species